UAGAAGAAUGAAGGUUAAAAAAUCUUAUUUACAGUAUGUUCAAUGUGGGUAUAUGUAUUAACAUUAAUGAGGUUUGUACAGAAAGUAAAUAAUAAAUAGUAAAUAGUUAUUGCACAUAGUUUUUAAAGGAGUGUCGUUGUUGUAUUAUAGCUGGUGUUGUUUUCUCUCAAGAAUUAUCGGGGCGGUGAUGGCUCUUGGGAAGAAACUGUUCUUCAGUCUGGUAGUCCUUGUUCGAAUGCCUCUGUAGCACCUCCCAGAAGGAAGCAGUUCAAACAGCUGGGAGGCGGGAGGU